AAAAAAUUAGUUAACCCAAAUAACAUUAGAUUGUCAAACUAAAAUAGUCAUCUUCGACAUUUUUUA
rnacentral:tRNA from 1 species